AUAUUGGUGUUUCAGUGGUAGAACGCUCACCCUUCCAUGUGGGAGACUUGGGUUCCAUUCCCAGGCAAUGUA
rnacentral:tRNA from 1 species